ACUCAAAUGAAUUGACGGGGACCCGCACAAGCAGCGGAGUGUGUGGUUUAAUUCGAUGCAACGCGCAGAACCUUACCUGGGUUCAAUCGGAGUCGCACCAGGGGUAAUGCCCUGUACCCGCAAGGGACGGCUCUGACGGUGCUGCAUGGCUGUCGUCAGCUCGUGCCGUGAGGUGUUGGGUUAAGUCCCCUAACGAGCGCAACCCUCGGUGCCGGUUAGCCAUCCGGCGCGACUGCCCCGCACAACGGGGAGGAAGGUGGGGAUGACGUCAAGUCAGCACGGCCCUGACGCCCAGGGCGACACACACACUACAAUGGACGGGACAAUGGGUCGCCAAGUGGCAACACUGAGCUAAUCCCCAAACCCGUCCUCAGUUCGGAUCGCAGGCUGCAACUCGCCUGCGUGAAGUCGGAGUUGCUAGUAACCGCCGGUCAGCAUACGGCGGUGAAUACGUUCCCGGGUCUUGUACACACCGCCCGU
rnacentral:rRNA from 1 species